AACGAACGCUGGCGGCAGGCUUAACACAUGCAAGUCGAACGCAUCCUUCGGGGUGAGUGGCAGACGGGUGAGUAACGCGUGGGAACGCGCCCUUCAGUUCGGGAUAACCCAGGGAAACUUGGGCUAAUACCGGAUACGUGCGAGAGCAGAGAGAUUUAUCGCUGAAGGAUCGGCCCGCGUCUGAUUAGCUAGUUGGUGGGGUAAUGGCCCACCAAGGCGACGAUCAGUAGCUGGUCUGAGAGGAUGAUCAGCCACAUUGGGACUGAGACACGGCCCAAACUCCUACGGGAGGCAGCAGUGGGGAAUAUUGGACAAUGGCCGCAAGCCUGAUCCAGCCAUGCCGCGUGAGUGAUGAAGGCCUUAGGGUUGUAAAGCUCUUUCGUCCGGGACGAUAAUGACGGUACCGGAAGAAGAAGCCCCGGCUAACUUCGUGCCAGCAGCCGCCGUAA
rnacentral:rRNA from 1 species